UACGUAGGGUGCAAGCGUUGUCCGGAAUUAUUGGGCGUAAAGAGCUCGUAGGCGGUUUGUCGCGUCUGCUGUGAAAACUCGGGGCUUAACUGCGGGCCUGCAGUGGGUACGGGCAGGCUAGAGUGCGGUAGGGGAGACUGGAAUUCCUGGUGUAGCGGUGAAAUGCGUAGAUAUCUGGAGGAACACCGGUGGCGAAGGCGGGUCUCUGGGCAGUAACCGACGCUGAGGAGCGAAAGCGUGGGGAGCGAACAGG
rnacentral:rRNA from 1 species